AAAAAAAGGAGGAAAUACUCAUAACAAUUACAGUCUUCAUAGCUGCAGCUGGUCACGUGAUCCUAGCUGGUAUUGAUGACUACCUUCUCUUUUUCCCUCACCCCCCAUCCCGAGACAGGGUCUUGCUGUGUCACCCAGGCUGGAGUACAGUGGCACGACCUCGGCUCACUGCACACUCCACCUCCUGGGUUCAAGCAAUUCUCCUGCCUCAGCCUCCCGAGUAGCUGGGAUUACAGGUGCCCACCACCACACCUGGCUAAUUUUUGUAUUUUUAGUAGACUUGGGGUUUCAUCGUGUUGGCCAGGCUGGUCUCAAACUCCUGACCUUGUGAUCUACCUGCCUUGUCCUCCCAAAGUGCUGGGAUUACAGGCGUAAGCCACCGCACGCAGCCAACUACCUUCUACUACCCAUUCUGUAUUCCCUGUGACUUCAGCAAGCACCUCAGCAGGUCAUCGUUUUCUUCCAGUGGACUGACCCAAACCUUCAUUCUUGAAGGGUCUAGGUCAUUUGUAGUUCUCCCUGGAUUGGGCUGUUGUAGUUUCCCAUUGACCUUAAUCACAGGGCAUGAUAAUACUAAGGGACGCCCUAAUGAAUCUCCUGUAUUCCAUGCGUACUCUUCCUUACCUCCAUUGUGGUGGAGUAGUAGACUAAUUUCAUCUUAAUAGUACAGGUGAAUCAUCCCAGCCAAUACUGUGACUCCCUUCUUAGCCUGUUGACUUAAAGGUAGAAGGAGUCCAAAGUGUCCAGGUAGCAAUCUUCCAGUUUAAUGGAAUCGUUGUGUCUCCUGGCAGCAACAUUCCUCCCUCUGGAACUAAGACUUCUAGGCCAGCAGAAGGCCUAGAAGACAGGCCUAUUGUGGGGACAGGAAGCAAAAAUUUUGCUAGUGGAUCACUAGCGGCGACAGUGAGUGGUGCCACUUCCACUUCCACACCUUGAUUCCUGGACCCGUGAAUCCUGGCUAUGGGAGAAACAGUACCAUAUACUGGAUGCUGAUUCAGAGCAUACAUGGCCUUCUGGUGAACUUUGCCCCAGCCCUGCAAAGUAUUGUCACUUAGUUGGCAUUGUAAUUCUGACUUCAAAAGACCAUUCCACUGUCCUAUCAAUCCAGCUGCUUCAGGAUGAUGGGCAACAUGGUAAGACCAGUGAAUUUCAUGAGCAUAUGCCCACUGCCACACUUUUUUUUUUUUUUUUUUUGAGAUGGAGUCUUGCUCUGUCGCCCAGGCUGGAGUGCAACAGUGCUAUCUCAGCUCACGGCAACCUCUGCCUCCCGGGUUCAAGCGAUUCUCCUGCCUCAGCCUCCUGAGUAGAUGAGGUUACAGGUUCUGGCCACCUCGCCUGGCUAAUUUUUUUUUUUUGAGAUGGAGUUUCACUCUGUCACCCAGGCUGGAGUUCAGUGGCAUAAUCUCAGCUCACUGCAACCUCCAACUCCCGGGUUCAAGUGAUUCUCCUGCCUCAGUCUCCUAAGUAGCUGGAAUUGCAAACACCUGCCACCAUGCCCAGCUAAUUUUUGUAUUUUUAGUAGGGAUGGGAUUUCACCAUGUUGGACCAGACUGGUCUUGAACUCCUGGCCUCAGGUGAUCCCCCCGCCUUGGCCUCCCAAAGUGCUGAGAUUACAGGCAUUAGCCACCAUGCCUGGCCCCGACUAAUUUUUGUGUUUUUAGUAGAGACAGGGUUUCACCAUCUUGGCCAGGCUGCUCUCGAACUCCUGACCUCGUGAUCCACCUGCCUUGGCCUGCCAAAGUGCUGGAAUUACAGGCGUGAGCCACCGUGCCUGGCCUGCCGCACUUCUUUAGCCAUAAAGUGAGUGCUUUGGUCAGAGGCAGUGCUGUGUGGAAUACCAUGAUGGUGGAUAAGGCAUUCUGUGAGUCCACGGUUGGUAGUCUUGGCAGAAGCAUUGCGUGCAGGAUAGCAAACCCAUAUCUAGAGUAAGCGUCUAUUCCAGUGAGGACAAACCUUUGUCUUUUCCAUGAUGGAACGGGUCCAGUAUAAUCAACCUGCCACCAGGUAGCUGGCUGAUUACCCCAAGGAAUGGUGCCAUAUCGAGGGCUCAGUGUUGGUCUCUGCUGCUGGCAAAUUGGGCACUCAGCAGUGGCCGUAGCCAGGUCAUCCUUGGUGAGUGGAAGUCCAUGUUGCAUAAUCUCCAUCCCUGCCACCGUGGCCAUUUUGUUCAUCGGCCCAUUGGGUAAUGACAUGGGUGGCAGAGGAAAGAAGCUGAGUGGUGUCCACAGAACAAUCAUCCUAUCCACUGAGUCAUCCUAUCCACUGAGUCAUCCUAUCCACUGAGUUAACACAUUGGUGAGUACUCACAUGGGAUACAAAUAUCUUCACAGUUUUUGACCACUUAGAGAGGUCCAUCUGCAUGUCUUCCUCAAAUGUCUUUGUCACCAAUUUUCCAAUCAUGCUGCUUCCAAGUCCCUGACUAUCCAGCCAUCCCAUUGGCUACAGCCCAUGAGUCAGUACAUAAUCGCAUAUCUGACCAUUUCUCCUUCCAUGCAAAAUACACAGCCAGGCGCACUGCUCGAAGUUCUGCCCAUUGGGAAGAUGUCCGCUGUAUUUCAAGGAUGUCCUAGAAAGGGGCUGUAGUGCUGCAGCUGUCCACUUUCAGGUGGUGCCUGCAUAUCGUGUAGAACCGUCUGUAAACCAGGCCCUAGUCUCCUCUUCCUUUGUCGACUGAUCAUAGGGAACUCCUCAAGAAGCCAUUGGUGCAGGCUCGGGGAGAGAAGGUAGGAUGGAAGGAGUGGAGACCAUGGGCAUCUGAGCCACUUCCUCAUGUAACUUACUUGUGCCUUCAGGACCUGCUGAAGCCCAAUCACAUAUAUACCACUUCCAUUUGAUGAUGGAAUGCCGCUGUGCAUGACCCACUUUAUGGCUAGACUGGUCAGAAAGCACCCAGUUCAUGAUAGGCAGUUCAGGUUGCAUGGUGACUUGUCCCAUAGUCAAACGUUCAGUUUCCACCAAAGCUCAGUAAUAGACCAGGAGCUGUCUCUCAAAAGGAGAGUAGUUAUCUGCAGAAGAUGACAGGGCCCCUUGCUCUAAAAUCCUAAAGGUCUCUGCUGUGAUUCACCUAUGGGAGUCUGCCAAAGGCUCCAAACAGCAUCCCUCUGCCACUGACACCUGAAGCAUCAUUGGAUCUUCUGGGUCAUAUGGCCCAAGUGGCAGAAGCAGCCUGGACCUGUUGCAGAGCCUUCUGUUCUGGAACCCCACUCAAAACUGGCAGCCUUUUGGGUCACUCGAUAAAUGAACCAAACUAACACACCCAAAUGAGGGAUGUGUUGCCUCCAAAAUCCAAAUAGGCCCAGUAGGCAUUGUACCUCUUUCUUGGUCAUAGGAGCAGCCAAAUGCAGCAACUUAUCCUUUACCUUAGAGGGAGUAUCUCGGCCAGGCGCAGUGACUCAUGCCUGUAAUCCCCAGCACUUUUGGAGGUCAAGGCAGACGGAUCACUUGAUGUCAGGAGUUCGAGACCAGCCUGGUCAACAUGGUGAAACCCUGACUCUACUAAUAAUACAAAAAUUAGGCUGGGCACCGUGGCUUACCCCUGUAAUCCUAGCACUUUGGGAGGCCGAGGCGGGCAGAUCACGAGGUCAGGAGUUCGAGACCAGCCUGGCCAACUAUGGCAAAACCCCGUUUUUACUAAAAAAUAAAAAAGUUAGCCGGGCAUAAGGGGCCAGGUGCGGUGGCUCACUCCUGUAAUCACAGCACUUUGGGAGGCUGAGGCGGGUGGAACACCUGAGGUCAGAAGUUUGAAACCAGCCUGACCAACAUGGAGAAACCCCAUCUCUACUAAAAAUACAAAAUUAGCCGAGUGUGGUGGCACAUCCUGUAAUCCCAGCUACUCAGGAGGCAGAGGCAGGAGAAUCGCUUGAUCCCAGGAGGUGGAGGUUGCAGUGAGCCGAGAUUACACCAUUGCACUCCAGCCUGGUCAACAAGAGUGAAACUCCAUCUCAAAAAAAAAAAAUAUCUCAAUAGACCCCACACCACUGGACCCCUGGAAAUUUUACUGAGGUAGAAGGUCCCUGAAUUUUAGUCGAAUUUAUUUCCCAUCCUCUGGCACACAAAUGUCUCACCAAUAAGUCCAGAGUGUUUGCUACUUCUUGUUCACUGGAUUCAAUUGGCAUAAUGUCAUCAAUGUAAUGUCCCAGUGUGAUAUCUGGUGGAAGCAAAAAGUGAUCAAGGUGUCUCCGAAUACGAUUAUGACACAAAGCCGGAGAGUAAAAGUGUAUUAAUGGCCUUGCCAGAUGAAGGCAACUUGCUUCUGGUGGGCCUUAUGAACAGGAAUGGAGGAAAAGGCAUUUGUCAAGUCAAUGGCUGCACACCAGGUACCAGGAGAUGAGUUAAUUUACUCAAGCAAUGAAAUCACAUCUGGUACAGCAGCUGCAAUUGGAGUCACCACUUGGUUAAACAUAUGAUAAUCCACUGUCAUUCUCCAAGAUCCAUCUGUCUUCUGCACAGGCCAAAUGGGAGAGUUGAAUGAGGAUGUGCUAAGAAUCACCACCUCUGCGUCUUUCAAGUCCUUCAUGGUAGCACUAAUCUCUGCAAUCCCUCCAGGGAUGUGAUAUUGUUUUUGAUUUACUAUUUAUCUAGGUAGAGUCAGCUCUAUUGGCUUCCGUUUGGCCCUUCCCACCAUAAUAGGCCCUCACCCUACCAGUCAGGGAGCCACUGUGAGGGUUCUGCCAGCUGCUAAGUAUGUCUGUGCCAAUUAUGCAUUUUGGCACUGAGGAGAUGACCACAGGAUGAGUCUGGAGACCCACUGGACUCACUGUAAGUCAGACCUGAGCUAAAACUCCAUUAAUUACCUGAUCUCCAUAAGCCCUGAGUUUAACUGGAGGACCACAGUGAUGUUUUGGGUCCCCUGGAAUCAACAUCAGCUCACAGCCAGUGUCCAGUAGUCUUCAAAAUGUCUGUUCAUUUCUCUUUCCCCAGUGCACAAUUACCCUGGUAAAAGGAUGGAGGUUGGCGAGGUGCAGUGGCUCACACUUGUAAUCCCAACACUUUGGAAGGUCAAGGCAGGUGGAUCACAAGGUCAGGAGUUCAAGACCAGCCUGACCAACAUGGUGAAAUCGCAUCUCUACUAAAAAUACAAAAAAUUAAUGGGGCAUGGUGGCACAUGCCUGUAAUCCCAGCUACUCAGGAGGCUGAGGCAGGAGAAUCGCUUGAACUCGGGAGGUGGUGGUUGCAGUGAGCCGAGAUCGCACCACUGCACUCUAGCCUGGGCAACAGAGUGAGACUCCAUCUCAGAAAAAAAAAA
rnacentral:lncRNA from 1 species